AGUGAACGCUGGCGGCAGGCCUAAUACAUGCAAGUCGAACGGCAGCACAGCAGAGCUUGCUCUGUGGGUGGCGAGUGGCGGACGGGUGAGGAAUACAUGGGAAUCUGCCCAGUCGUGGGGGAUAACGUAGGGAAACUUACGCUAAUACCGCAUGCGCCCUUCGGGGGAAAGCCGGGGACCUUCGGGCCUGGCGCGAUUGGAUGAGCCCAUGUCGGAUUAGCUAGUUGGCGGGGUAAUGGCCCACCAAGGCGACGAUCCGUAGCUGGUCUGAGAGGAUGAUCAGCCACACUGGAACUGAGACACGGUCCAGACUCCUACGGGAGGCAGCAGUAGGGAAUAUUGGACAAUGGGCGCAAGCCUGAUCCAGCCAUGCCGCGUGAGUGAAGAAGGCCCUCGGGUUGUAAAGCUCUUUUGUCCGGAAAGAAAGCGCCGGGUUAAUACCCUAGUGUCCUGACGGUACCGGAAGAAUAAGCACCGGCUAACUUCGUGCCAGCAGCCG
rnacentral:rRNA from 1 species